rnacentral:rRNA from 1 species
UACAGAGGUCUCAAAGCGUUGUUCGGAUUCAUUGGGCGUAAAGGGGUGCGUAGGCGGCGCGGUAAGUCGGGGUGUGAAAUUUCGAGGCUUAACUUCGAAACUGCAUUCGAUACUGCCGUGCUUGAGGACUGGAGAGGAGACUGGAAUUUACGGUGUAGCGGUGAAAUGCGUAGAUAUCAGGAGGAACACCGGUGGCGAAGGCGGUUCUCUGGGCAUUACCUGACGCUGAGGAGCGAAAGUGUGGGGGAGCGAACAGG